CGACCUCUCUUCCUUGUUGCGGUGAUGCAGGUCGGACAUGAGGUGCUGGAGAGACGAGAACUGACGAGGUGACACCUUGUUUUACUCUAAAUGUUCACCUUUAGUGAUGAUUCUCUUCGUUAUUGUCGCAGGUGUCGUGUUUAUAUUUAUGCGUUUGCGCGUUUCUUGACGUUAUUUCCGCACAUUGUUAGCUCGCAGCUUCAGUAGCGCCAAAUGCACCUCGUGGUUUCCGCUGAUGAGGAAAAUGCAGCUGAAUAUUAAACGAUGCGUACGAGGGACUGAUGCAAUUUAGGCUUUGAUUGGGAGCUCAGUGAACUUUAAGGUGCUGGGGCUGUGUUCUGUAAUGUUAUAACAGUUUAGGUUGAUGUGUUUGAGGUUAAUGACUCCCAUAGGAGGAAGACCUGUGGGUCAGGGUUUGAGUGUACUUCAAACAUCACAUACAAAACGAUCUAAAUGAAGCUGGCUUGCUUCACCGAGAACUGAACGAAACUGAUUAAAAUUGGAAGUUAAUUUUAGUUGCGUCAAACGACACAAUACCCGUGCAUAAGACCUCCGUGCUACUAUGUUGGGUCAACUAACGUCCACUAUGAACUUCAUAAGUAACAAAGUUAAAACUAAUAUAAAGGUCAAGCACUAAGGUCUUGUUUACAAAGGGUAUAAUCCGUUUUAUUAAGAACUUGAGGAGUCAGCGUGUUCCCUUUGUUUAUGCUUGUAAAACAAAGGGUUUCCUGUCUUGUCCUAUCUGAGAGUGUAAAUUCCUAAAUGAGCUAAAUAGGUUCUGUAAGUUCUAAACAUUGCUGUAAUAUUUACCAAAAUCACAAGCUGAAUGUUCAGUUCACACAUUUUAAAAUGCAUCAACUAAACUGUGCAUUAUAUAAAAAAAUAAGAAAUUAUUUCUUUACUCUUAGCUUUAUCACACUAGGCCCAUUAAUUGAGUUGUGCCAUUUCAGUUCUCAUCCUAUACCUGCUGCAGAUGCAGACUUGCCAGCUUUUAGUCAAACCUUGAUGAUGAGUUGCAUGUGAGUCCGUGUUUCACCUGAAACCUCAUGAUUAUCUUUCACUGCACUGAUGGGUUUGACAGUAAGGGCGCAGGUCAGGCACUCUGGUGUGUAAGUGCACAGUUAAGCUAAUCUUAUGUUCCUUUUCUUUCAGGAUUUCAGAACCUGGGUGUGUCCAAGGUGAUGGAUCCUUCAUGAGCUCUGGCUGCUGGGUUUCCUCAGGUGGAAAUGUUGUGAUUUUAAAGUAUUAAAUGUAAUUUAUUUUAAUUAAAUCUUUGUUUACUGACAAAUACAACUCGAUCUAUAUUUCAGUGAUAACAAUUUGUAGUAGGUACAUUUGUGUGUUCAAUAAAGCAUCUUUUUUGUAAAUCAAACUUUUGCAGGUUUUUAUUUCAAAUGUGUAAUUUGAAUUGUUUUUGCAGGAUGUGUUGGGCUUGGACUGUGCAAAGGACUUCUUUUUAAUUAUGGUUAAUGUGCCGUACAUUUGAAGUUGGGGCAAAAUGGGUAAAUGAAUAUUAAAAUUAGACUAGGAGCAUGUCUAAAUGGACCAGUCAAAAC
ensembl:lncRNA